CCUAAAGCCACAGAAGCUGUGGAAGGCGCCAUCCUGCCUGUCACAGGAGGGGCCCUGGGCUGAGAACACCGGAGCUGACUGGGGAUUAUUCAAAGCCAAAAGCCAACAGAGCCCCCAUGGAGAAGUGGAGGAUGCUCAGAUGCUGCUAUGGAGCCCUGAGAAGUGAAAUGAACCCAAGCCCUAACCUAGGAUAGAGCGCUCCAAGCGCGUCCUCCGGGGACCCUUUUAACCAGUGAAUUGUUCACUUCUCACUGUUUCUUCCCAACAGAGCUAAGAGACUUC